CGUCCGUCUCUCUCCCUUUCUCCGUCUCUCUCGUCCGUUUCUCUCCCUUUCUCCGUCUCACUCGUCUGUUUCUCUCCCUUUCUCCGUCUCACUCGUCUGUUUCUCUCCCUUUGUUUUCUACAUUUAUCGCUAUCUGCCUUUCAUGCGUAACCUUAUUUAGCUCAUCUGGCUUGCUCUCGCUGUUGAGUCCAAUGUUUACUUCAGGAAUGCACAGAUCUGAUUGGCUAAGUGGUAUCACGUGGGAUGACUUAACUCGCAUGCAAUUGGUCUGUGCAUUUCCACUACCACUAUUGUAAAGGUUGCAAAAGCUGCGCCGGUUAAAAUAGAAGCGUCCCGUCAAGUUUUACAUCAUAUUUUUUGUUUUGGCUCUAGCGGUCCGCCAGUUAGUGACCUAUACCGUACAGUAUUUCCAUGUAUUCAAAUGCUGCGUUCACGUAUUUACACUACAAUCCAAGACGCUAUAUCAGUCAAACUUGCUAACACACACUCACACGGGGUAAAACCAAACCCUAUUCAUUCACCAAUCAGACCCGAUCGUUUUUUUUUUUUCUCCUCUCCCUAUUUUUUAUUUUUUUUAAUUCAUUUGCGUGACGAAUGACAAGGCGGCAGACCUAAACACAGUCAGUUUACUUGGUGGAUUUGGAGCGGCAAUUUUCACACAAAAGAGAAGAAAAACGAGCGUCAGUGUGGAAAAUGCUGGUGGCGACGGAGAUAGUGACGAUGUAACAACAUUGGUUCCGAAAAAAGGCAAGCAAAGAAGUUACAUAUGGACGUUUCUCAAUCGGAAGGCUGCAGCCUCCGAAGGUCGCAUAUGCAGGCUGCAUACGUGGGACUGAUUCUCCAUGCUGAUGAAAAUUUCUGCCACUGCACCACUACACUCUGACUCUCCCUGCUAGUCCAAGGCUGAUACUGCUGGUUGCUGGUGAUGAAGUCACACUUAGAGGCUGGAUGCAUUGAAAACAACAUCAUCUGUGAAGGCAUCCACCAAAGCUUCAUCAGAGGGCUGGCUGCAGUUUUCGCCACCUACUAUGUGUUCAACUUGCAAUACCAAGAGGAAGCUGCCAGGACACUGGACUUUGUUCAAAGCCCUCUCUGAGCUUCGGGCGGCUUCAAAACAUAGUCCUUAUACAUGGAGUACACCACACCUGCAACGACACCACAGUGUAGAAUAGUACCUAAAGUCAUGGCUCCCACCACGAAGCCCUGCGCUGCCACACGCAUGUGGAUCAGUUGCACGGACAUCUUCAUAUUGCCCCUGCUCUUCAUCUUGUACAGUCUGUGUGCCACAAUGGCAAAGAGAACCG